rnacentral:SRP_RNA from 1 species
GCCAGGCACAGUGUCGUGUGCCUGUGGUCCUAGCUACUUGGGAGGCUGAGGCUAGAGGAUCACUUGAGUCCAGGAGUUCUGGGCUGUAGUGCGCUAUGCCGAUCGGGUGUCCACACUAAGUUCAGCAUCAAUAUGGUGACCUCCUGGAAGCGGGAGGACCACCAGGUUGCCUAAGGAGGGGUGAACUGGCCCAGGUCCGAAAUGGAGCAGGUCAAAACUCCUGUGCUGAUCGGUAGUGGGAUCAUGCCUGUGAAUAGCCACUGCACUCCAGCCUGGGCAACAUAGUGAGACCUUGUCUCU